UUAAAACAAUUACUGUUAGACAUGAUGAUGGGUAUAAAGUCAUAUAGCUAAUAAGGAUCAGAGUUCCAGGAUCUUAAAGUAGGAAUUUUGUUUCCACAGCAGGUAAAUUUUAGAAGUAGAAAUGGAAUUGUAUUUUUAUAUCUACUGAACUCAUUGCUCUUAAUAUUUUAUAUAAUAUUAUUUAGAGUUUAGAUAAAUUCUGGGAUGACUGAUCUUCAUAGGUAAUUUAAGGUAAGUUAGGUAAUGCACUUCCUCUGCAACUACGACUAUGUGGAAGAUAUAUGCUUGCCUUCUAAAAUCUUUCUCUUGAGACUAUUAUGCAUUAUUUGACAUAAUUGUCAUUGGUCUGACCCAAUUUGAAGUGACCUUAAAUUUGAAGGAGAAUGAAAGUUUCAUCUUUUGACAAAAGUAUAACAACCCUUUUAGUUUGGGUUAAAGGAGAAAGUGUAAGCAGAGCCAAGAGAGGAUGUCAUAGAAAUUAAACAACAGCACUGACAGUUAUUUUCUCAAUUCCAAAAUAAUGCAUCAUUUUUUAAAAUAAAAUUUUUAUUGACAUUGGUUAUAUAAAUGGUCUGACUUUCAGUCAAGUCUAUUAGUAUUUGAUUGAAAUGGUGAGCUAUGACUCAGGUUCAGAUGUAAUCAUUUUUUGUUGAAAUUUUUUAAAGAGUUGGUUGAGUUCAUAAACAGGCCUUACUUCCUCAUUUUUUUGAAACAAAGCGCAGAAUUCUUGCUCUUUUCUAUCCCUCAGGUUUAUGUAGUGCCUAACAGCCCUUGCCUGGCUUGGGGUGUUACAAUAGGUCUGCAUUUGGUGUGGCAGGCCUUUAAUGAAAUUAGUGGAAUGGAUAGAGUUUUUCCCCAGGUAAAUGGAUGGAGUUGGAGAAUAUCAUACUAGGUGAGAUAAACCAAUCCAAAGCCUAUGAUAGUGAAAGACAUCAUUCAACUAUGUCAUAUUUCAGUUCCUCUGUGAGAUAAACCAAUCCAAAGGCUGAAUGUUUUCUCUGGUUGAAGAAGAGGGGACUUGUUCUCUCAGGGUCCAUUUCUGAACGCUGUCUGAAGCCUUGUGUCUGUUGGCAGCUUUGAAGCAUGCUGCUGAAUGCAUGAAGAAUCUAGUGGUCAUGGAACCUCUUAAACGUCGAUCCCCUGCAACACAGGCUCCGUACUGUGGAGACUGGAGCAGAAGAAAGGCAGGGCUUUCCUCCUCUGGGAGACCUACAGUCAGUCCUGAAGGCAAGAUAUCUACACAGAAAACCUUAAGAAAGGAUUUGACAGAGUGCCAGAUGGGGGCCCUAGGAGUUUGGCUUGUCUACUUCAUCUUUCUCCCUUUGCAUUUGAAAGAGACUUGUGAGGUAGGAAUGACCUUCAGGACUCCUGAUGUCGAGCCAUCAGUUGUGUAGGAUCCUCUGGCGUCUGUUGAUCAGCCUCCACUUGGACACUCUGACCCAGAGGAGAGGCCCCAGCACUCCUCGCCGGGACUUGAUGAUGGUUGUCUGCCAACUUUGGGCAAUGAGGGAAAGGCAGAUUGCCUUUGAGAUGUAAUAUGCCCUUCAAUAUUCUCCAUAAAAGAAGCUAUAAACCUGAAAGAAUGUGUGUAGAGUCAGUAGGGAAAGGAAAGUUCUGGUCAUAAGCUCUAACCCUGUUGAGAUAGGUCAAAGGAUGCUUAUAUUACAUUUCAGUUCCAGAUGAGGAAAUCAGAUUGGGCUCACCUGAGAUGGUUGUGUGUGUGUAUGUGGGGGAAGCCAAAGGAAUUAUUUUCAAAGCCUGUUUCUCCUACAGCCCACCUGUAUGUGAGUUCUGUCAGGUCUGAGGGCACAAGAUCUAGAGGGGUGAUUCAUCUAACAUGCCUGCUAGAUACCUUACUCUUUCUAAUUUGGUACAUAGACUGAUGAUUUCUGGACUAAUUGGGGGAUCCCUGGUGGUUUCUUACCAGAACAGUGUGAGGAAGAAGGUGAUCAAGCUAGAUUUAAACUCUUUCCUUUAAUAACCUCUGAAAAUAGAAUUAUAUUAUAAAGAACAAUACCUCCACUUUUAGUGGUACCCAUUUAAUAAAGCAGGAAAACAAUACAAGCAGUGACUCACAGUUAUAUAGAACAGUGGACUAAAUGGUCAUGGUCACAUUUAUUGACAGCUAGUUGAGGGCAGAACACUGCUGGGAGAGGGGAACAUCAAGCAGACUGAUAUUGGAAGGAAUUAGAGCACUAGAAGAGGCUCAGAGUGGGUCUCCUGGUACAGGAUGGAUUUGAGCAGGUUGGAAGAAUGGGUGAACUUUGCAUGGAGAGAAAGGGAGAACACAGGGGUCAGUGGGAGGGCCACAGAGUUUGGCAUGAGUAAGAUGCACAUUUCAUGGAUGCAAAGUACACAGAAGGUGGCAAACUUGGACUUUGGUAGAGGUAAGGCACAUGUUCACAUAGGCGUGUCAACUUCCAAACAAGAUUAGCUCACUUAGUACAAAUGAUCCAUAUGACUGUGCUCCAGGCAAUGGCCCCUUGCGAGCUGAUGACUAAGGCAAUCAACCUAUGACUUUUCAAAUUCUCUUCCUAAGGAGGUCAGGGGAGAAAAGGGGAGAGAGGUGGGCCAGGAAUAAUGGGCAAUUCUGGGUGGGCCCAGGUGAGUCACCUUCCCCAGCGCUGAUACCAGGAGGCCAGCCCCAGGACUCUUGCUUCUGCUUCUCAUUCUCCUCACCAACCCCCCGACACCCCGUCCCAGUUGUCACCUCUCCCAUGCUUUGACUCCCAGAUGGGGCUCUGGAGAAACUCAUUUUAUAGAGACUGUGACCCAAGAGGACAGGGGACAGCUUUUUCCUAAUCAUGAAGGUUUCAGGAUCGAACCUAGAAGGGCCUGUUGACCACCAGCACCCUUGCAUCUACACUCUGUCUUCUGCCCCGUGACUUUUUUUUUUUUUUUGAGUUUUCUCAUCCUGACAUUUGAGAGGCAAAAGAGACACAGAUUAGAACAUGGGGAAACUUAAAGGGACUGUUCUUUGACUGCAAAAUAUUCCAGGGAACGUGUAGAAGUGGGAGGAGUUUGAGGCUGUGGGUCAUCCAUUUCUCUAAGAGAAGAUGAGCCUCUGCAAUCCAGGUUUGGGUCACAUGUUCUAAAACUUAAGCUCUGAACCAACAAACACUGUGACUCUUGUGUAGAUCUCUAAUAUUGUACUGAAAAAGUACUGGAACUUCUUUUUAGAUCUUUUUUCUUUUAUUUCAGUAUCCACUUUCAUAUGCCCUUUUUUUUUUUUAAAGUUAAACUUACAACAGGGCCCAUAUAUCUCUCCCUGCUGAGUAUGUUGAGUUCUUAUUUUUCCUGCCUGAAUGUCCCAACACUUCUACUCCUCCAGUGACGAUGUAGCAAUCUUAGAGAUCUUAAAUUGUGAUUAGGAAAAAGUGAGAUUUCAGUGUCUAAAGAAUUGGGUGCUGCUCUCCAACCUCUGACUAACGUGUAAUCUCCUUUCUGCAAUGCUUCCUUAAAGGUGGCCAAAUCUUGUUCUAAAAUGUACACCCACCUCUCCCCCAGAUUCAGAAUAGCCAACAAAAUAUGGAGCAACAGCACCUCUCAGAGGAGCGGAGCUGUAAUGCAGGACAAAAGGUACCCACCUGCUGAGAUGUGGUGUAAGGUCUCUUUUGUGUCCUUCCUGCCUCCCACUACUGGUGACCUGGUGUUUAAGUUCUAUCCCUUGACUGUUUUUCUUUUCUCAAAGGUUCUGUUUCAGACAAACAUCAAAUACAGGAGCUGUUGGUCUUGGACAGUCUGAACUCUCUUGUACCCCUCUUCUUUUGGACUCUGUAAAAUCAGAUGCAUUCUGUUUUCCUUUAGGCCCAAUAGAUGUCUAUGAGCAGACCCAUCUACAUUAAGAAGGGAAGUCUAACCUCCCCCAAGCCAGUUAAUUCUAAUGUUUUUGUUCUUAUUCUGUAAUAUUUGGAUUGGUGUACCAGAGAUGACUCAUAACUGGUGGCUUUCUGAAAGUGAUCCUGGGACUAUAAUUUCCUGAAAUGUUUAAGGCAAACAAAAACAAAAAAGGAAACUCUCAUCAUGAUCAGAUGAAUUCAGAGAUCUAUGAGGAGACAAGACUUAAACAGUAAAAGAUGAAAUUCGUCACUGCCACCUACACCUAAGAGUAGUCCCCAAACUUCACUAAGGAUAUUGGGGAAAUUCUUCUGAGGGCAAAGCCUUUUAUGGACCUGUUAAGACACCCAAGAAUGAAAAAAAUCACACCCUCCAUCUCUAGAGGAGGUGUGCCUUUUCUAAAUUUUCACUAUUCUGAUUGUGAUGAGUGAAAAGCUCUCCCUUGCCUGCUAGCAGAAUGUUAAGAUUUAUCAGCAGGGGACAUUGUGGAGGGCAGAUUGCUUCUGCUGUUGGCUGGGGAAUGCUCUCUAAAUUUCGCCUUCCGGGACCCAGUUGUGGGGAGUCCUACUGUCCAGUCAUAGCCCAGGUUUCCUGCCUGCCAGCCUCAGCUGCUGAAUGGAUGGCUGUGGCUGGGGCAACCCAGUAAGCUUCUCUGCGGUCCAGUGGUUGCAGUCACACUCUCCCUAAGAGGUCUGCAUCCUAGCCUUGAAAGGAGCUCCUCCCCUUUCAUGAUAGUGCCUUCCUUAAAUAUUCUCUGACAGCCUACAGUAUUUAUUUAGCAUUCUUUUAUUCCUGUGUAGUAGUUACUUCUCUUUUAAUAGUUAACAAGUUAGGAGGCUUCCUGUUCAAACUACUGUGGUACUAUCUCCUGACUCUUCUCUCAUGGUCCAUGGUGCCCAAAAUGCAAUUAUUAGUGUUUAAAAAAAAUCCUUUUAUUAGGUUUUGUUAAGUUCAAAAUCAUCUCAACAUGUGGAAAACAUGGGUCCUUAUAAUACUAGAAAGUGACCAAAAUAAUGCAGUACUAGUUUAUUCAGUUAGAACCCCUGUUUAUGAACUUUGUACUUAGGAUUGGUUUUAAAUCAUCAUAUGGUUCAAUGGCAGUGAAAUAAAACUCCCAGAAAACUUUGGAGACUGUGAUUCCUGGAGAGAGCCAAUUCUCCCCUUUUUCUAAGAGCAUAUGUACCAAAAAAAAAAAAAAAAAAAAGCAGAAAACCUCCAUAUUUUAAGGUGUUAGGGCCAUUAGCUGUUAGAAAUCCAUCAAAUUAGAAUGGAAAAAGCAGCACCAGUCCAUCUACUAGAUCCAGGAACUGUAUCACUACAUACUGAAUAUACAACCAGGUAUGACUCCAGACCAGCCCUAUCCAACAAAAGUGAGCCACAUACCAUUUAAAAUUCUCUAGUAAUCACACUAAAAAGGUUAAAAAAAACAGUGAAAUGAAUUUUAAAAUUGCAUUUUAUUAACAAAAAAUUGAAAAUGUCAUUUCAAGAUGUAAGCAAUACAAAAAUACUGAGAUCUUUUCCAUUCUUUUAUUUGUAUUGUCUUUGAAGUUUGGUAUGUAUUUGUAUUAGUCAGCAUUGUAUUACUACAAUGAAAUACCUUAGGAAAUUAAUUUUAUAAAGAGAAAAGGUUUAUUUUGACUGAUGGUUCUGGAAGUUCAAGUCCAAGAUCAGGUGGUCCCAUUGGUUUGGGUCUCUAGUGAGGGUGGCACAUCACGGCAGGAGUGUGUUGAAGUGAGCAGAGCAGGGCAGGGUCCACUGUUCCCUUCAAGGGCAUGUCCCCAGUGAUCCAAACCGUAGCAGUGCUUUAUACUUGUAGUAAAUUCAGACGAAUCACUUCUCAAGUUCUCAGUGGCCUGCUAGUGGCUAUUAUAUUGGACAAUGUGACUCUAGAAUACAAUUUAACUGUACAUUUUUAAUGGGAGUGACAGUCUAGGAGACAGCGUUUUAAAAGAAACUAUUACAAAAUCAGACUUUAUUCUGUAACUUUAUUGAUCAUAUUAAUAUUUAUAUUUGAUGGGGCAGUGACUCAGUGGUAGAGCGCUUGCCCAGCACGUGUGAGGUACUGGGUUUGAUCCUCAGCACCACAUAUAAAUAAAGCAAAGGUAU